rnacentral:rRNA from 1 species
AUACGUAGGUGGCAAGCGUUGUCCGGAAUUAUUGGGCGUAAAGCGCGCGCGGGUGGUUCCUUAAGUCUGAUGUGAAAGCCCCCGGCUCAACCGGGGAGGGUCAUUGGAAACUGGGGAACUUGAGUGCAGAAGAGGAUAGUGGAAUUCCAAGUGUAGCGGAGAAAUGCGUAGAGAUUUGGAGGAACACCAGUGGCGAAGGCGACUGUCUGGUCUGUAACUGACACUGAGGCGCGAAAGCGUGGGGAGCAAACAGGAUUAGAUACCCUGGUAGUCCACGCCGUAAACGAUGAGUGCUAAGUGUUGGGGGGUUUCCGCCCCUCAGUGCUGCAGCUAACGCAUUAAGCACUCCGCCUGGGGAGUACGGUCGCAAGACUGAAACUCAAAUGAAUUGACGGGG